rnacentral:lncRNA from 1 species
ACCAAAACCCAUUCUUCUCUCUUCUACAGUAAAGUCUUAGCUACACGUGUGACCAUCUAGCAGGGACUGCAUUUCCCAGGCCUCUUUGUAAUUAGUGUGGAUGUGCAUUGUUGCCAAAGGAAGCUAUGAAUGCUGCUUUGGGGAUGGAGGUUUUGUUGUUGUUGUUUGUUUGUUUGUUUGUUUGUUUUUGAGAUGGAGUUUCACCCUUUUUGCCCAAGCUGGAGUGCAAUGGCACCAUCUCAGCUCACUGCAACCUCUGCCUCCCAGGUUCAAGUGAUUCUCCUGCCGCACCUCCUGAGCAGCUGGGAUUACAGGCAUGCACCACCAUGCCUGGCUAAUUUUGUAUUUUUAGUAGAGACAGGGUUUCGCCAUGUUGGCCAGGCUGGUCUCAAACUCCUGACCUCAGGUGAUCCACCUGCCUCAGCAUCCCAAAGUGCUGUGAUUACAGGCAUGAGCCACCGUGCCCAGCCUGGGACGGAGUUUUUAAGACGGCUUGAUCAGAGACGUGGAACCACUAUGACUGAUACGGAGUCUGGGCUUUGUUAUAAGAAUGAGACUUUGUAUAGUUGUGGAAGCUGGGGAAGAAGUCUUAUUGAGGGCUGUUGCCUCUGCAUAUGCCUGAAGUUGCUGUAGGUUGGCAGGACCAGAAAAUGGGAAGAGAGACUGGACAUGAAGUAAGAUAAAGUGAGAACAAACUGGAACUCAAAAGGACAAACUAGAAUCCACAUCUGUCUCUCACUGCCCCCAAACCUGACAACAUGGGUGACCUGCAAAAGAAGUUCACACUGUCUGUCACAGAGCUACAGUGUUCAACUAAAAAUUAUAAGACAUGGCAAGAGACAAGGAAGUGCAAAUACAACAGAUGAUAAUAACGGAGGAACAGAGGAACAAAAAGGCAUGUGACAAAUAGAAAACAAGUAGCAAAAUGGCAGUGUAAAUCCUAUCAUACCAAUCAUUACCUUAAAUGUGAAUGGACUAAAAAUGAAUGGAAGAAAAAAACAGAAAAGAAUUUAAGGA